GCACCCGUAGCUCAGUGGAUAGAGCACCGGACUUCUAAUCCGACGGCCGCAGGUUCGAAUCCUGCCGGGUGCG
rnacentral:tRNA from 1 species